GAACUCCUCUCGCCGUGAUCCACCCAUGAGCAAUCCACGUUGAUCUUCAGCGUACCCGGCUCUGGAGGUACCCAGCUAUGUGGUUUUGCGAUUGUUGCGUGCCUUCCAUAUGAGCCAAAGGGAAGUCGCAAAGAUCGCUUUUUGGCUUGCUGACCUGUCCGAGGAGAGGAUAAAUAGGUGUUCAGAUGAUUCUGGCCACUGAUGGCAGAAGGGGCAAGUGGGCUCAGGUAUCCUUGCUGGCCAUGGGAUUUCUUCCAUGCCUUCUCCACUACAUC